UUUUUUUUUUUCUUCAUACUUGUUUGUUUUCAAACUUUCAAUUUUGUGAGAGAUGUAAAAAUGUACAUAUAAGUUGUUCAUUUUUUAUUUUAUUUUAUUUUAUUUUUUUACUUUUUUUUUUUACAAAAAGCUUUUUGUAAAAUUUAGAUCUGGUGAUUUUAGAGAUAAAAACAAAAAGGAUUUUUUUUUGCUUCUUUCACAACCAAUGAUCUGUACUUUAAUCCAGAGUAUUUUUAGAUGAUGAUUUUCAAAGAUUGCUAUUCAGUCUUUCACAUUUUUGCUUAGAUAAUCUGUUUUAUUAGACAUCAGAAGAUGUGUAGACAGUACUUCACCAUGCCUAUAAUUCAAACUUCUGUGUUAUAGCAAUGAGUCUAGUCAGUGUAGGAACUAGACAAACCUUCUCUUAUUGGUUUUUAUAAAAGCUUAGCUGAUGCCUUGUUUGUUCUGUCGUUGUCAAUCAAAACGAGAUGUGAAAAUGCUGUAAAAGUGUUUUUUUGUUGUUGUUUUUUUUAAAAACAUAUCACCCUCCACCAUAUAUAUGUGGGACUGCUGGAGGGUGAAAUGUUUUGUCCAUGCUGUCAUAAAAGUGAAGGGACCUCCUAAGAUUUGUGGAAGACAUUAAUUUGUGCAUGACCAAAUAUUCAUAUGGUUGUAUGGAAAGCUUUGAGAAGCCGAGAAAAACUUGUAAACCAAAGGACAAGGGAGUUACUUUCUGAAAUACACGUAGGUUUGGUGUGUAGCACAAUCUUUUCAGUGGCCUUCAGUAGAAAAAAAAAGCAUAUACUAUCAGCUCUUCACAACAGUAUUUAUAUCUGCAAACUUUAUUUGGUGAAAAUAUGCAAUUUAUGAAAAAGUAUAGUCUUUAUUAUUAGUUGUAGUGAAUUUCAUAGAAAACUGUUGAAUAGAGAUGAGCUCAAAUGUGCUGACAGAGUGUUUGUAUCACUGAGUAGUUUAAAAGUACCAUGCCAGCUGACAUGUUUUUGAGAUAUAACUGUCAAAUGUGUGUUUGUGAAUUAAACGUGCUUGUUUGGUAUUAUUCAAUUCAUGUCUCCUGUCACUUUUUUUAAGGAAAGCUGAUUCAUGCGAGGUUUAUUUGAUUUGACCAAUUAAU
ensembl:lncRNA